rnacentral:lncRNA from 1 species
CUUCUGGAGGUAUCAGGCCUCAGGUUGUCUUCUGGAGGUAUCAGACCUCAGGUUGUCUUCUGGAGGUAUCAGACCUCAGGUUGUCUUCUGGUAUCAGACCUCAGGUUGGUUGUCUUCUGGAGGUAUCAGACCUCAGGUUGUCUUCUGGAGGUAUCAGGCCUCAGGUUGUCUUUUGGAGGUAUCAGGCCUCAGGUUGUCUUCUGGAGGUAUCAGGCCUCAGGUUGUCUUUUGGAGGUAUCAGGCCUCAGGUUGUCUUUUGGAGGUAUCAGACCUCAGGUUGUCUUCUGGAGGUAUCAGAACCCAGGUUGGUUGUCUUCUGGAGGUAUCAGGCCUCAGGUUGGUUGUCUUCUGGAGGUAUCAGAACCCAGGUUGGUUGUCUUCUGGAGGUAUCAGGCCUUAGGUUGUCUUCUGGAGGUGUCAAAACCCAGGUUUGUUGUCUUCUGGAGGUAUCAGGUCUCAGGUUGGUUGUCUUCUGGAGGUAUCAGACCUCAGGUUGUCUUCUGGAGGUAUCAGGUCUCAGGUUGUCUUCUGGAGGUAUCAGGUCUCAGGUUGUCUUCUGGAGGUAUCAGACCUCAGGUUGUCUUCUGGAGGUAUCAGGUCUCAGGUUGUCUUCUGGAAGUAUCAGGUCUCAGGUUGUCUUCUGGUAUCAGACCUCAGGUUGGUUGUCUUCUGGAGGUAUCAGGCCUCAGGUUGUCUUCUGGAGGUAUCAGACCUCAGGUUGUCUUCUGGAAGUAUCAGGUCUCAGGUUGUCUUCUGGAGGUAUCAGACCUCAGGUUGUCUUCUGGAGGUAUCAGACCUCAGGUUGUCUUCU